rnacentral:sRNA from 1 species
CUGCGGCUUGGCCCGUUAGAGGCGGCUUGGGUCCACGGAACGCGGGCGGAUCUUCUCCGGCCAUGAGGAAGCCAGCCGCUGGCUUCCUUCCCUCACUCCUGAAGGUGCUGCUCCUGCCUCUGGCACCUGCCGCAGCCCAGGAUUCGACUCAGGCCUCCACUCCAGGCAGCCCUCUCUCUCCCACCGAAUACGAACGCUUCUUCGCACUGCUGACUCCAACCUGGAAGGCAGAGACUACCUGCCGUCUCCGUGCAACCCACGGCUGCCGGAAUCCCACACUCGUCCAGCUGGACCAAUAUGAAAACCACGGCUUAGUGCCCGAUGGUGAGGGCCAGACUGGGGGGAAACCGAGGCAUCCAGAGUGUUCACCCAAACCUCAGGGCAAAAACCCCUGUGCUCAUGUGAGGCGGGGAAGGGCAUGGCUGGCACCACACCAUGAGCUCGUACUCUCCACCCUCCCCAUGGCGUGGAGUCCAUUGCCCACAGCCCCACCCCAAGCUCCCCACGGGUUCAUCUUCUCCACCCCUGCCCUUUCUCA